AUCCAGAGCUUUUGGGGGACUCUAAAUCAAUUCAGUCAGUCUGCAGCUGACUGACAGUCCGCCUCCUGAUUGGUUCAGCUUCGUACACGUGACUCUACAGGAAGUGAUUUCUCCAAUCACCUCGCUCCGUCAUAUCUAUAGCUGCACUAUUCCCAAACCACUUUGAUAUUUAUUUUAUUAUUACAGUGUCCUCCUCCCAUGGUCUUCCUCUGUCCGACUGACCGUUUCUAUUUCCCUUAGCUGUGUUCGUAGUAGUUAGUUGUCGUUGUUUCAGCUCCUGAGCAGCAGCUCUCUGAGGUUGUAGUGAAGUUCAUCUGUCAGCGUCUAGUGAAACAUGAACACGUUGGUGACCAGAUUAGACCACAUAUGGAUCCGUUUAACCUCGAGGCAGCUCUGGAUAACAGCUGCUGUCUUCCAAGGUCCAGUUCUCCACACUUCCUCCAAAACCUGUCAUCCCCUCUAAGAAGCCUUUCAAAGUGGAGCUGGUUGGUGGAAAGCGUUACUCAUGGGCACCUGUGGACACAGCAAGAAACAGCCUUUCUGCGACGGAUCCACAAAACCAAAGCCCAAGGGCCUGUUCCCGCUACGCUUUGUCCCCGAGAAAGACGCCACAGUUUGGUUGUGCGGUUGCAAGCACACAAACAACCCACCGUACUGUGACCGGGCACACACAAGCAGGACUUCAUCGUAUGCGCCCCGCUACAUGAAGAACCGACACUUGAAAAUGACAGCAGAGAUGCCUUUCAACUGAGCAUUAAUCACAUUAUUUUGUGCAAUCAGUGCACUCACUCAAAUCAGCACGCGUAAACUGAUCGAUCAUGACAAGUGUUUGAAUCUUGUGUCAGUAUUUCUCUCCAUGCUUGACGGAGAAGAGAGUGGCGAUGAAAGGUUAACACCACAACCCUUAACUUCAUUUGUCCUUUGUCUUUUCUAUGGGAGGGACCAAUGUUGCAUUAACAACAGGGUUGGACGAUAUGAUUAUAUACUGUGAUAUAAUAAAUGAUUGGUAUGGAGAGAGAGAGGUUUUAUCAUACUGGGUGCACUGAGGUGGGCUGAAAGAUCUUGGAUGUAUUAGGCCAUAGUGGGCAAUGUUGCAAAUAAACAGUAUGGACGUCCAUAUAACAAGAGUUUAGAGAUGGGAUGUACUAGCAUUACGGCUAAGAUCUAAAGAAUGGUUUUACGGAGAAAAACCGUCCAUGUAGAAGUUUUUACACGGUGAAGUGUGGUCAUGAAGCAAUGUAUAAUUCCAUCCCAUAGUCAGUGUGAAGGUGUAAUAGUGCAGAAACAACAACUACAAGCCUCUUCUCCAUUUAUAAAACGCCACCCUCGUCUUCCCUUUCAUUCUUUUAUGAUAUGUAUAUAUAUGCUUUUUUUGUUGAUUAAAUUAAGAAAUAAACAGUAUAUACACUUGA